rnacentral:lncRNA from 1 species
AUGUCACACAGCAAUGCCAUCUUGCUCAGGAGGGCCUGGCUCAUCCCUGCCCAUCAUGGGGGUUCUGCUGACCCAACCCAGCUCCUCCUGGCUCUGCCCUGUUUCUGGGACUCCAGCGUGUGCAGUGGCUGCCUCUGGAAUGGGGCACAUGGGUACAGGGGGUGUCCAGGCCAGCUCUGCUGCAGCAUCUCUGAGCACUCAAGCAAGGGAAUAUGCUGGGACCUAAAGCAGAGUGCAGAGUGGUGUGAUCUCUCGAGGGACAGGAGAUGGGCUGCACAAGGACCCCAGACAUGCUCUUUGGAGACACUGCCUAUGAACAUGAGGGGUCUGUGUACUUCCUUUUCCUGUUGGACCCUCUCCAUCACUGGUGUCUGGGCCUUGCUCUGUCUGCAUAACUCCAGCAUUGUGGGACUGGCUGUGCUGGCCUGGCACACACUAAGCAGUGUUUGUGAGGGCAGUGGGCUCUGGAGGCUGUCAGGGGGCUGCCUGACACCAGGGCAUCCCUUAGCUUCCCCCCUCAGAAGAAGGGCAGAGCAGAAGCUCCCUCACUCCUGGGUGUUGUUUCUGACUACCAACCUCUCACCUUAUCCAAGCAUCUUCCACUCCAUGGCCUCAUUACUCACCCUGAACAAAGGCAGCAGCCACCCUCCAUCCUUAGGGAGGGGGAUCUGCCUAUGCAUACCCCUGGAAGGCAGAUCUGCAGGAAAAGUGAUUGCUGAGGUGGCUUCAUGCCCUGAUCACUCUGCAUGGGGACCAGCACCUCCCAGCUAUCCUUGUGGCUGUGCACCCCUCCCCACAGGAGACACCUGGAGCAGCCCUGCACAGAUGUGCUUGGACAGUCUUAUCCAGCCUCCUCCCUGCUGCCUCAACCAUCAGCCUGGCCCUUUUGGGGACAUGCUCUCCCUGCCAAAGGCAAUGCAAGGUCUGGGUACCCCCAUGGUGGUCAUACCAGCUCUGCCAUGGGGUGUCCCCCAGCACGGCCUGUCCCCGUGGUGUGUGGGAGGCAGCGUGCAUGGGGGCCUGCUCCAGCCCCAUGGGAUGCUAUCCACACCCUCUGCCAGGCGCUGGGAGGAAGAUGAAGAGGGAGGAUCUGCCUCACUGCAAGGAUGCUCCAGGGAUGGCCAGAGGCGGCCAGGUCCUGCCUUCCCACCCCGAUGUGAGGGUGGCGUGGCUGAGCGCUGGUGCUGGCACUCAGCCACUGCCCCGGGCUCUGCCAGCGCCCCAGCCCUGGUGGCCGGGAGGACUGGCCGGGCCAGACCAGUGGCCAUGGGGCUGGGCCUGAGUCACAUCAAGCAAACUCGGGCAGCUUGUGGGGUAUGA